rnacentral:rRNA from 1 species
UACGGGGGGGGUAAGCGUUGUCCGGAUUUAUUGGGCGUAAAGAGCGUGUAGGCGGCUUUACAGGUCCGUUGUGAAAACUCGAGGCUCAACCUCGAGACGCCGGUGGAAACCGUAAAGCUAGAGUCCGGAAGAGGAGAGUGGAAUUCCUGGUGUAGCGGUGAAAUGCGCAGAUAUCAGGAAGAACACCCGUGGCGAAGGCGGCUCUCUGGGACGGUACUGACGCUGAGACGCGAAAGCGUGGGGAGCGAACAGG